UACGUAGGCAGCGAGCGUUGUUCGGAAUUACUGGGCGUAAAGAGUGUGUAGGCGGUGCUCCCAGUCUGUUGUGAAAUCUCCCGGCUUAACUGGGAGGGUGCAGCGGAAACUAGAGUGCUAGAGGGUGGGAGAGGUAAGCGGAAUUCCUGGUGUAGCGGUGAAAUGCGUAGAUAUCAGGAGGAACACCUGUGGUGUAGACAGCUUACUGGACCACUUCUGACGCUGAGACACGAAAGCGUGGUAGCAAACAGG
rnacentral:rRNA from 1 species